AUACAUGCAAGUCGAGCGGACAGAUGGGAGCUUGCUCCCUGAUGUUAGCGGCGGACGGGUGAGUAACACGUGGGUAACCUGCCUGUAAGACUGGGAUAACUCCGGGAAACCGGGGCUAAUACCGGAUGCUUGUUUGAACCGCAUGGUUCAAACAUAAAAGGUGGCUUCGGCUACCACUUACAGAUGGACCCGCGGCGCAUUAGCUAGUUGGUGAGGUAAUGGCUCACCAAGGCAACGAUGCGUAGCCGACCUGAGAGGGUGAUCGGCCACACUGGGACUGAGACACGGCCCAGACUCCUACGGGAGGCAGCAGUAGGGAAUCUUCCGCAAUGGACGAAAGUCUGACGGAGCAACGCCGCGUGAGUGAUGAAGGUUUUCGGAUCGUAAAGCUCUGUUGUUAGGGAAGAACAAGUACCGUUCGAAUAGGGCGGUACCUUGACGGUACCUAACCAGAAAGCCACGGCUAACUACGUGCCAGCAGCCGCGGUAAUACGUAGGUGGCAAGCGUUGUCCGGAAUUAUUGGGCGUAAAGGGCUCGCAGGCGGUUUCUUAAGUCUGAUGUGAAAGCCCCCGGCUCAACCGGGGAGGGUCAUUGGAAACUGGGGAACUUGAGUGCAGAAGAGGAGAGUGGAAUUCCACGUGUAGCGGUGAAAUGCGUAGAGAUGUGGAGGAACACCAGUGGCGAAGGCGACUCUCUGGUCUGUAACUGACGCUGAGGAGCGAAAGCGUGGGGAGCGAACAGGAUUAGAUACCCUGGUAGUCCACGCCGUAAACGAUGAGUGCUAAGUG
rnacentral:rRNA from 1 species